UACGUCUCACGUAACUGGCGAAAAGUCGCGGCGCAUUGCUGCCUGGCGGCGAAAGGUGGGCAUCCACCGGGGAACGUGAGAUUUCAUCAGCCGUUCGCCUGGGCAGCCACC
rnacentral:ncRNA from 2 species